GUCUCAGUGGCGUAGUGGUUAGCGCACGACCCCCGAUUAGGCGCGAGUCGCGGGUUCGAAUCCCGCCCGAGAUG
rnacentral:tRNA from 1 species